GUUAUGAAACAACCUAACUUCAUUCUCUCUUUAAUCAUACCUGGUUCAUCAAGUCCUAGAAACAAGAUAGAUGUCUACAUGCAACCUUUAAUGAAAGAAUUGAAGGAGUUGAUACAUUUGAUGCAUCAACGAAAGAACAUUUUCAAUUAAAGGCAUCAAUUUUUUGUACAAUAUCUGACUUUCCUGGUUAUGCUAACUUGUCUGGGUGGAGUACCAAGGGAAAAAGUGCUUGUCCUAUGUGUAGGUUUGAAACUAAUUCUAGAUGGCUAUCCGAAGGAAAAAAGUGGUGUUAUAUGUGUCAUAGAAGAUGGCUUCCAGUUGAUCAUCAUUGGCGUAAAGACACUAGAUCCUUUGUUGAAAAAACAGAGGUAAGAGAAGCUCCUAAUCCUGUUACUGGUGAGGAUGUUCUUCAACAGUUAGGUGAUAAUGAAUUUCUUGUCUAAUGUGUUGAUGAUGGUCCUUGGAAAAAGAAAAGUAUUUUCUUUAUGUUGCCAUAUUGGAAACAUUUGUUGUUACGUCACAAUCUUGAUCCGAUGCACAUAGAAAAGAAUGUUUCUGAAAAUUUUAUGGGCACUUUUUUGGAUCAAGAUAAGAAAUCAAAAGAUAAUUAUAAAGCAAAACUUGAUCUAAAACUACUUGGCAUAAGAAAAGAUUUGCAUCCAAAGAAGCGACCAAGAAGCAAUACUACUCUCUUGCCAAAAACAUGUUAUCAAAUGACUCGGACUGAGAAAUCUAGGUUCCUAAAAACCCUUAAGUCAAUUAAGCCUCCAGAUGAAUUUUCAUCCAACAUAUCUCGAUGUGUGCAACUUAAAGACAAGAAACUAAUUGGGCUAAAAAGCUAUGACUGCCAUAUGUUGAUGCAAGAGUACUUACCUAUUGCAUUACGUGGAAGCUUGCCAGAUCAUGUAGUCUCAGUUAUAAUUAAGUUGUGUGAUUUUUUUAGGAUCAUUUGCUAUAAAGACCUAUCUCCAUUUGAUCUUGAGUUUCUCCAUGCUAAAGUUGUUGUCAUUUUAUGCAAAUUGGAGAAGAUAUUCCCUCCUUCCUUCUUCACGGUGAUGGUACACUUGAUAAUCCACUUAGUUAGAGAGGUUGAGCUUGGAGGCCCUGUUGCUUUCUGAUGGAUGUAUCCUAUCGAAAGGAUGGCUAGGCGUAAAAGACUACGCAUGACACCUACUGAGGACCAUGUUGAAGCUCAACAUCACCAACAAAAUUCUCAAGGUCCAGACGAGACUGUCGAUCAACAGCAAAAUUCUCAAGGAGAAAAUCAGACUAUCAAUCAAUAAUCUGUCCAAAAUGAGAUAUCUGCUAAUAUUGAUCAACAAAAUUCUGAACAUGGAUCUGAUCCAGGAAUUCAAAAGAAGGUGAGAGGUCAUUCUGUAAAAUUUGCUACGUGGAAAAUGAGUGGUGAUACAAAAAUAGUAGUGAUAUUUAACAAGUUUGGAAAACCUGUUGGAGAAGAAGGAAAUGAGCUAACGCAAUUUCUUGGGACAAUUGUUAAAUCAAAAUUUGUUAUUCAUCCUACCGAAACAACUUCUAUAAAAAAAUGGAUAUUUUUUAGCAUGGGGAAAAAUGGAGGCAUUGGAAAGGUUUACUAAAAGCACGUGCAUAUGACCCAAGCCUUACCGUUGAUGAAAUUGUGGCACGAAAAACAGAUAAUGAUAGUCGAGUGAACAAAGAUCAAUUUAAAAAACUGGUGACUCAUUGGUUCACUCCAAAGUAUCAGACGACAUGUGAUGUAAAAAGAGUUAGUCGCGCAAAGAUGCAAGAGCCUCAUGUUAUGGGAACAAAAUCAUUUGCCCGACUUGCUCAAGAAGAGGCAACGAAAAAUGAUGGUGCAUACCCAUCACGAGGAGAAAUAUAUCGGAUAACUCGUACUCGUAAAGAUGGAUGUAUUGUUAAUGACAAUGUUGCCCAAAUUAUGUCUUCCCUACAAGUUGUUUCAAGUAACUCGAGAAACACACAUCAGAAUGAAGAUGAUUAUUUAAAUGAUGACUAUUCGAGAGUUAAGGGUCCAGAGAAACAUGGGUACAUUCGAUGUGUAGGUAGGAUGUCGGCUGUAAAAGACAACGGUGCUUCAUCUUCUACUGAUCCAGAAACUGUUCAACAACUAAAGGAUGGGAUGAGUCGCACUCAAAAUGCAUGAAGCGUUUUCAUCAAUCUCGUCAAGGAUCAUAUUCCAAAUGCAAACAUAUCAGGAAUGCUUAACAAUUUGAACUUACAGGUUCCUGAUAGCUUUUCAGUGGUUCCUAAUCACUCUCCUCUAGGAAAUCAAAGAUCCUCAUUUGAAAGUCAUCAUAACAAUGUGAAUCAUUCGUAAGUUGGAUAAAAGAGAGAAGCAAGUAUGCAAAGUUUAUCUUCAAUUCAACUUUCAUGUUUCUUCCUGAACUAAUAUCUAGUUUGAUAGUUUAAUGUUUAGACUUAUUAAACAUUUUGGAAUCUUUUGUUUUAAAUGUUAAGAAUAUUGUUGUAUGACAAGUUAAAUUUUAAUUUAAUUAUGCUUUUGUGUUUUGUA